rnacentral:rRNA from 1 species
GUAGGUGGCAAGCGUUGUCCGGAAUUAUUGGGGCGCAAAGCGCGCGCAGGCGGUUCUUUAAGUCUGAUGUGAAAGCCCACGGGCUCAACCGUGGAGGGUCAUUGGAAACUGGAGAACUUGAGUACAGAAGAGGAAAGCGGAAUUCCACGUGUAGCGGUGAAAUGCGUAGAGAUGUGGAGGAACACCAGUGGCGAAGGCGGCUUUCUGGUCUGUAACUGACGCUGAGGCGCGAAAGCGUGGGGAGCAAACAGGAUUAGAUACCCUGGUAGUCCACGCCGUAAACGAUGAGUGCUAAGUGUUAGGGGGGUUUCCGCCCCUUAGUGCUGCAGCUAACGCAUUAAGCACUCCGCCUGGGGAGUACGGCCGCAGGGCUG